rnacentral:rRNA from 1 species
UGCGCAGGCGGUUUGACAAGUCGUAUGUGAAAUACCAGGGCUUAACUCUGGGGCUGCAUACGAAACUGUCGGACUUGAGUACAGGAGAGGCAAGCGGAAUUCCUAGUGUAGCGGUGAAAUGCAUAGAUAUUAGGAGGAACACCAGUGGCGAAGGCGGCUUGCUGGACUGAAACUGACGCUGAGGCACGAAAGCGUGGGGAGCAAACA